rnacentral:rRNA from 1 species
CCUACGGGAGGCAGCAGUGGGGAAUUUUGCGCAAUGCUCGUAAGAGUGACGCAGCGACGCCGCGUGAAUGACGAAGGCCUUCGGGUCGUAAAGUUCUUUCGACAGGGAAGGAAAUGCCUAUAAGUAACUGAGUAUGAAUGGACGGUACCUGUAUAAGCAGCCCCGGCUAACUCCGUGCAAGCAGCCUCGGUAAAAUGGAGGGUGCGAGCGUUAAUCGGAUUUACUGGGCGUAAAGCGCUAGUAGGCGGUAUGUCAAGUCAAGGGUGAAAUCCCCGCGCUCAACGUGGGAACUGCCUUUGAAACUGGCAAACUGGAGUGUGUGAGAGGAUAGUGGAAUUCCAGGUGUAGGAGUGAAAUCCGUAGAUAUCUAGAGGAACAUCAGUGGCGAAGGCGACUAUCUGGCACAUAACUGACGCUGAGGAGCGAAAGCGUGGGUAGCAAACAGGAUUAGAUACCCCAGUAGUC